UACGGAGGAGGCAAGCGUUAUCCGGAAUUAUUGGGCGUAAAGCGUCCGCAGGUGGCACCUCAAGUCUGCCGUCAAAUCCCAGGGCUUAACCCUGGACAGGCGGUGGAAACUACCAAGCUGGAGUACGGUAGGGGCAGGGGGAAUUUCCGGUGGAGCGGUGAAAUGCGUAGAGAUCGGAAAGAACACCAACGGCGAAAGCACUCUGCUGGGCCGACACUGACACUGAGAGACGAAAGCUAGGGGAGCGAAUGGG
rnacentral:rRNA from 1 species